UCAUGGAGAUGUGACUCCGUGUCACUGCAAUGCCACAGAGUGCAGUUAUUUGAGCCUGUUGCCCACCUGUCUUUGGCUUUUUUUUGUUUUUUUUUGCCUACAUUUUGUAGUCAGGCUGGAGACGGAGAAGAAGGUGUUCUACAGUCAUGGAUACUCAAAGCAAGGAUGGCAGCAGAGAGUCUUAUGAGCUCAAGAUUUCUGAGUUAUUAAAGGGUUUCGCUGAGAAGAAAACAUCACCCAAUGAGAGCAAACAUACUAACCCCCGAAACAUCAGCCUCUCCAUCACAGAGCCAGGAACUUCUUACAACCAUGGGACCUUCAGAUCUAGAGCAGUCCUCCCUAAAAAACUCUGUCAGCUGUACACGUGUCAGUACGAGAGGCUAGAUCAUCUGAGAGAAAGCUUCAGUGCUCCGGUACUCGUUCUUGCCUGCAUCCCUGCAUCUCAGGCGGGACAAAAGCAACCCAUGUUAUCGUUCUCAGAUCCAGUCCUCUUUGCACACCUGGUGGAAAAAUCAGAGAUCCUUGCCUCUGACUCAGUCAUUCGUAUGAGAGAACAGCUUGAAAAGCAAGAGAUAUAUCCGUACAUCCUAGGAGUGCAGGCUUGGAGGAAACGGGAGCAACGUGAACCACAGUGCAUGCUGCUUAAACAGUUUCCCCAGACUGGGAUAACCAAUAAAUGGUUCUUCAAGGACUUACUGGACCUCCAGAGGAAGCUGUUUUUGGGUGCCUCAAAGAAAUCCGGACCCCAGAAGAAAUCUCAGACACCUGGAAAACUUCACACCACCAGUCAGAAUGUUCUUCUUUAAUGCUUAGGAAAGUUCAAGACUGACAGAAGAGAUAAACUGCAAAUGAAACUAGCAC
ensembl:lncRNA